UACGAAGGUCCCAAGCGUUAUCCGGAUUUAUUGGGUUUAAAGGGUGCGUAGGCGGACUUUUAAGUCAGUGGUGAAAGCCCCAAGCUUAACUUGGGAACUGCCAUUGAUACUGAUGGUCUUGAGUACAUUUGAGGUGGGCGGAAUGUGUCAUGUAGCGGUGAAAUGCUUAGAUAUGACACAGAACACCGAUUGCGAAGGCAGCUCACUAAACUGUAACUGACGCUGAGGCACGAAAGCGUGGGGAGCAAACAGG
rnacentral:rRNA from 1 species